GAUGAACGCUGGCGGCAUGCCUAACACAUGCAAGUCGAUCGGUAAGGCUCUUCGGAGUACACGAGAGGCGGACGGCUGAGUAACGCGUAGGAACACACCCUGCAGUGAGGGAUAAGACACCGAAAGGUGUUCUAAUACCGCAUACGGUCUUCGGAUUAAAGCAUUUAUGCGCUGAAGGAGUGGCCUGCGUCAUAUUAGAUAGUUGGUGAGGUAAUGGCUCACCAAGUCGAUGAUGUGUAGCUGGUCUGAGAGGAUGAUCAGCCAGACUGGAACUGAGACACGGUCCAGACUCCUACGGGAGGCAGCAGUGAGGAAUAUUUCACAAUGAGCGAAAGCUUGAUGGAGCGAUGCCGCGUGCAGGAUGAAGGCCCUCGGGUUGUAAACUGCUUUUAUAAGAGAAGAUUAUGACGGUAACUUAUGAAUAAGGGACGGCUAACUACGUG
rnacentral:rRNA from 1 species